UUUCUUUUUUUUUUUUUUAAAAGAUGGGGUCUUACUCUGUCACCCAGGCUGAAGCGCAGUGGCACAAUCUUGGCUCACUGCAACUCUGCAACCUCUUCCUCUGGGGCUCAAGUGAUCCUCCCACCUCAGCUUCUCAAAUAGCUGGGACUACAAGUGUAUACUACCACACCCAGCUAAUUUUUGUAUUUUUUUUUGUAGAGACCAGUUUCACCAUGUUGUCCAGCUGGUCUUGAACUCCUGAGCUCACCUCGGCUUCCCAAAGUGCUGGGAUUACAGGUGUGAGCCACCAUGUCCGGCUGCAAUUAGCUCUUUAGUGCCUCACUCUUAAAACGAAAGACAGACAAAUGUCACCAGAGGAAAGCCUUCAGACUGAAAAAGCCCAAACCAACCAAAACAGUACAAAGAACCUGGAGCAAAUAGAGAUAAAGCAGGGAAUAAAUGAAAACGCUUAAACCAAUCUCUAUAAUUUUUAGACAUUUAAGGUGUUAUUGCAUCCAUCCACUAACAAGAACAAGAUGUUAUAUAAAAAGAAGAAAGAAAGGCUGAAAAAGAGAAGAUUCAACAGAGUGGCUGGAAUACACAUUGAGGAACUCUUCCAGAGAAAAAAUGUUCAAAAGAUGGCGAUUGACGGAGGAAAAAACAGCAAAGCACAUAGAAAGGAUGAAUCUAGAGGUUCAAGUAUCUGACCACUAAAAGCAUUCCAGAAAAGAAGCAGAACAUAGUGGUGGUAAAAUCAUCAAAGAAACAAAAUGUUAAGAAUUCCCAGAAAUAGAAGACAGGAGUUUUAAGCCUGAAAGUAUCUAUCAAAUAUUUAGCACACAUGCCGAGGCAUACUAUAAAAUUUCAUAAAAAGAAAAAAGAGACAAUCCAAGGAGAGAGAGAGACAGAGAGAGAGAGAGAGAGAGAAUGAGCAUGAAUAUGAGGACCAAACUAGCCAUCAAGUUAGAGUAGAAUACUGAGCUUUUCAGACCUUCAAUGACUCAGAAAAAAUUUCCCUCCCAUGUGCCUUUCAUGAGGAGGCAACUUAAGAACAUCUUGAAGUAAAAUGAGUUAUUAAAUCAAGAAAUAGCAUCCCUGAGAUUAAGAAAACCAGAACCCAACAGAGAAAUAUAGUAAAGGGAAGCUGCAGUAAAGCUGUGUUUGGAGUAAUGAGCCCAGAUAUACUAGGAGCAGGAGCUUUCUCGGUGGAAAGAGGAGAGGGCCUCUGGGGGAAGGGAGGGCAGGUUGGGAUGGAGCUUAAAGAGCUCUAGGUGGAAAGAGGAGAGGGCCUCUGGGGGAAGGGAGGGCAGGUUGGGAUGCAGCUUAAAGAGCUCUGAGUGGAAAGAGGGGAGGGCCUCUGGGGGAAGGGAGGGCAGGUUGGGAUGGAACUGACAUAAUUAUCUGGUAAUUAAUAUUUAAAUAAUACCAAAAGUAAUACUGAAUGCAGCAGAUCUAAUGGCACAUACGAAAAUUUUGUAACAUAUGAAAUUUUUGAUAGGUACAAAUAAAUCUAGGCAAACAAAUGAAGGCAAUAAAUAAUUCUAGGAAAAACAAUUAAGUUGUGCAAGAAAUGAAACAAAAUCAUGAUGUACUGCUCAGAUCAGCAGCCAACAGAAUGUAUAAAGUCACAGCAACGUCAGCAGGACCAUGCAUCUCAAAUGUGGGUAUGACCAUCUUAGGAAGAUGGAGAGGAGCAAGGAAGUAGAAGUAAAGGUAAUGGAAUAAGAGAAUGAGAUCAAGACCCCAGUAAAUCAAGAAACAGCAGCCUGUGCAUACUAGUUACAGAUAGCGCGGUGACUAUCCAAAGAAACAUCUAGCUGCGCUGAAAGUGACUGGCUCUGCAACAUCAGACUUCAUCUUUGGGAGGGCUGGAAUAGGAAACUGUUGCUUUUCAUUAUACAUCUUAUAGGACUAUUUGAUUUUUAAUUAUAUACAUGCAUUACUUAAUAGAUAUAGCAAAAAAUGCAGGGAGGUAAAAUCCUAGGAACACGUUUUGAAAAACAGUUCUGGUAGAGUCUCGCUAUGACAAUGCAGCAGAAGCAUCUAGAAGCGUAUGGUAUGGUAAAGACAAGGUGCGGGGUGAGACCUUCAAGUCAAGCGAAACUACCCCACCUGACAAACAAUCCUCUCUUCUUCUCAUCAGUGGGGGAUUAUGCUGGAUUUUUCUAUGCGUUUGUAGGUAAUGAAAUGAAUGUGCUUACUAGAACCCACAAGAAACCACACAUAAAAAUCCCCAGCAAUGUUAUAUGCACAGGUAUAUUUCUAGCUUUUUGCUGUAUUCUUUCACAAUUCUGUGCCAUUUGCAAGAUGUGAAAAGCUAGGACAUUAUGUAUCAAUAAAAAUGUCUGAGACAUGCAAAAUAGACCAAGAAAUAUUUUUAUUUGAAAAAGAUUUAGCCAGACAAGAAUAGAAGCUUCCAUUAUAAAAUGUUGAGUCAUGCAAAAUGGGUAAGGAUUGUACUUCGCCCCGGCAGGGGGUAUAUUUUAUAAGCAAAGAAUGUCAGAGAGCUAAGGCCACAAGCCAAGGGCCCGAAGACAGUUUUGAAAUCCUUUGUCUAGUGCUCUUUCCACAUCACCACAUUAAUCCCCGGGGUGGACAGGGACCUUGACAAUUUAAGCAUAAAAGAACAAAAAGACCACAAGGUCAUUUUUAUAAAGAUCAACCAUCAACCCCUGGGGUCAGGUCUCCAAUCUUUGCUCAAGCUUUAGAAGGCUUUCAGCUUUGUGGAGUUAUCAGGAAAGUCCAAAAAUUGAAAUUUGUGGUGACUAAUUCCACCCCCUACAAAUACUCAAUGCAGAGCAUAUUACUGUCAGCUCAGCUAAAAACUGCUCAAAGUAGAAGUGAUUAAAUUCUAAAGUAGAAAAAAAUUCACCUCUAAACACAGAAACACACUGGUACUUCCCCCGCACACCCAGAUAUUAUUAGCCAGCUUUUUGCCUGGGGAAAUGAAUCAUGAGAGAGAAAACCGUACAACCCCCAAGUCCGACCACACUGAGUAACUGGGGUAGACACAGAGGGGGGCAUCUGGGGCUCUCCCGAGGCCAAGGUUGGGACCCAGAAGAGAUGAAUUUCCCUGGGUGCACAGGGUGGGAGGGAGGUGGGGCUAGAAGAACUUGUUCUGGAGGGAUGAUCCCGAUGGCUCCCAGUGCAGAAGGCCAGGAAGAGCAGAGGAUGGUGCCAGGAGGACGGUGUUGGGACACAGGCAGCUCAGGCCUGGAUCAGGCAGUGACUGGUAACAGAAGGAGAGUCCAUGCUGGUGGGCUCCGGGGAACAUAGGUGGUAAGGCAGGGCAGUACUUGGCGUCUGGGGAUGUAGUGUGCGACCUCCUGUAUUCGGUGUGAGGCACAGGGAGCCAGCAGGAGCUGGCGUCAGCCCGGGUCUAAAGGGUGGUGGGAUCUUAGCGGGGAAGACUGGGAAGACAGCAAGGAGGAAGAGCUGAGGCUGGAGGAGGAUGGGGGCCUGGAAGGAUCCCUGCCACGCUGUUAGGAAGCCAGGGUGCUUGGGUGCUGGUGAGGAUGGGAAGAGGGCAGGGGAACGGGGGGAGGGUGACGCAGGCCCUCCGGCAGCAGCGGCUUGGCCACUGGCACUGAGAUUGGUAUGAGUGACUCAGUGCCAGGUUGCGCCACAGAGAGCUGAGGCUGCGGAUCCUUCUCCUGCCUCUGGUGGGACCGUCUUAAAGGCAGGGUGAGUGAGCCUGGCUCCAAGAGGCUGGGCCCACAGGCAGGGGCUGACAUGGGCUGGCCCAAGCCCCAGCUCUCCUCACUCUGGGUGCUUCUACGCUUUCUCACCUCCACGCUUCCAAUCAUGUUAUUUUCUUCUGAUUAAAAUGCCUCCUUCCACGUCCACUUGGCAAACUCCUAUGCACCCUUUAAAGCCCGGCACAAAUGUCUCCACAAGGUUAUGUGCCUCAGCCCUGUUAGUGACCGCUUUCCAGUCAGACAUGAUUUUCAUCUUUCUACUGCCCUUCCCCAGGAAAGGGACAUCACAGACACUCAGAUAUUUAUUUGCUGGAGGUGUUUGUUGAAUUUUUCUGGCAGUUUCAGAUUAUACCUAUUUAAAUAUUAGUUUUCAGAGAAGAGAAAUAUUUUUGCAAAGUUAUUCCUAGAAAAUCAAUGUCUGUAAAGGAAGUUCUAUUUUCCUGUCAAUCUUUCAUAAUAAAAUUGGAAAUGCUUUCUCCUGGAGGAGAGAUGAUCCCAAGACAAGAACAAAUCGGUAAGCAAGAGUAAAACAUGUUUAAAGAUUAUAUAAUUUAAAGUAAUUAUCUUUUCCAAUAAAACAAAUAGUAAUAGUUGAAAUAGGCCAAACGCACAUACAUUAUGCUGCAAUUUAAGCUUUCAUAAAGUAAAUUAAACAAGCCUAGAGGCCGAAUUCUUGUGAAUUGGUGAUGUUUCUGUAAACUGAAUGACGUUAUCAGCCUAUGGUUAUAGAGUUCCCCUCAGAAAAAUGUUCACUAAAAAAAAAUCACAAGUGUUUAGAAGUUAAUUUAAAGGGGUUUACACUAUGUGUUCAUUUUUAAUGAACUAUUUGCCCAAUAGCUACAGUUGAAACAGUUAUAUGCCUUCAGCUUAGACUCUUUUUUUUUUUUUUUUUUUUUUUGAGAUGCAGUCUUGCUCUGUCACCUAGGCUGAAGUGCAGUGGCUUGAUCUCAGCUCACUGCAAUCUCCACCUUCCGGGUUCAAGCAAUUCUCCUGCCUCAGCCUCCUGAGUAGAUGCGAUUACAGGCAUGCCUGGCUAAUUUUUGUAUUUUUAGUAGAGAUGGGGUUUCACCAUGUUGGCCAGCCUGGUCUUGAACUCCUGACCUUGUGAUCCCCCUGCCUUGGUUUAACAAAGUGUUGAGAUUACAGGCGUGAGCCAGCAUGCCUGGCCUAGCUUAGAUUUUUAGACACUAUCUUAGAGACCUUGCACUACUAUUCCCUAUGUCCCCGCAACCCCCACCGGAAAGACAUCAGGUGUUACCAAACAGAUCUAUUCUCAAAAUUAUUUUUUUCUGUGUGUAUUGCCUCGUACUGGCUUAAGAUAACACACUGGCUUGAGAUAACACAUCUUGUGUGUGUGUUAAGAUAACACACACACAAGAUCCAGUGCUGACAUUAUUAGGAUCUGAGCCUGGGACAUGGCUGGUGAAAAAAAAAUCUUUAUAGAGAAUAUCGAUGGUAAAUGAACCAAUAGCAAAUUGGAGUCCUGUUUUCAUCAAUGAUAACUGAGUUUUUAAAAACAACUUAAUUGCCUUCUAAAAAUACCUAAUCUGAAUUCCUCCUAACCAUCAUUGUAUAUUUGGGAGGUUCCAGAAUAUUUUUGAGUUUUGCUAUAGCACAGAGGCAAUAGAAGUGGAAAAUAAAAAUGGAAAUUAAAAAUGAAACAGAAUUUGUUUAAUUCAGGCUUUCUAAAAUGUUAGUUUUUAAUUAAAAAUGAGAGAAUUUGUUUAAUUCAGGCUUUCUAAAAUGAUAGUUUUUAAAACUAAAGCCAGAGUUAGUGGUGUAUCUAUAUAAUAUAUACAUUAUAUAUUAUAUAAUGUAUAUAUAUCAUAUAUUAUAAUGUAUACAAGAUAAUGUAUAUAUUUUAUAUAUAAUAUAUAAUGUACAAUAUAUACAUUAUGUAUUACAUAUAACUUAUAUAUAUAAUUUAGAUAUACAUAUAUAUAUUUUUAACUCACAUAAACUUAUUUGAUUGCAAAACUCCACCCUCUUCCCCUAGUCGCCACUGGCUUUCAUAAAGUGCAGUUUGAACUACUGCAAUCAAUCGGACUUGGAAUCCUUUUCAUAUCCAAAAAUCUCAUUUUUAGGCCUCAAAUUGGACAUAAUUGUACAUCUGUGUUCAAGCGUUAUGUAAACUCCUGUCUGCAGAGCAAAGUCUAUUAGGGAACCUAGUGCACUUUCUUGAGAAAAUGGAGAGACAUCGCCACCUGCUGGACAAAGGUUAUUAAUUCAUUAAUUUAGUGUUCUGAAGUACGUAAUUCUGCACAUGGAAAACAGUUUUUCAAGAGCUGAAUCUUAGGAAUCUUACUUUAAAAACUCUACUAUCAUUCUAUAUCUAUUAAAUAACAUGGUAUAUAACAGUCAUCAAAAUUCAAUAUGCAGCAUAAGUUAAGGGUAAUUGGCCCCAAUAACGUCUCAACAGUGGGUUUCAUUUAGUGAAAAGUCUUAGCUCCCUGAUAUUUCUGGUAAGAGUUCAGUUAUAAAAACAGACGACUUUUUAAAAAACGUCAUUAACUUGGAUUAUGUGUGUCUUUCAGCCCCUUAGCAUGUCGCUGUAGUAAUAUUUCCACCUAACUUAUUCCCUGCGAUUCCAGAAACUAUGUCCCUGUUUCUGGAACAGGCUAUUGACUAGAAUAUAAUUGUUCAUUCCUCUCUGCCCAAGUCAGUAAUACAGAAAUAUUAUUUCUUAAAGGCACGAGAUUUCCUUGUAAUGUAUCAGCUGUAACUGGUGAAACAGGUCAAGGAUAAUCAUUUCCUUCAUUUGUUCCUUCCAAUUUUUUCCUCUUUCUUUCAUCUAGAAGUUACAAAGAGAACCUCAAGUCCAGUUUCUCUCAGGGACAGCCCUGUCUCUCCUGUGAUGGGCUUGGUGAGCAGGCUAAUUACUGAACAUUUAUCAUAUAGUAAGUCUGGGCUAAGGACUCUGCAUGGAUUGAUCAGGCAAGACUCACAAGAACCUAUGAGGUAGAUAAGAUUAUUUAUGCAUCUUAUCCAGAUGGGGAAACUGAGGCUCCGAGGGGCUAUACCUUGCCUCUGGUUAUGCAGUUAAGUGGAGGAGAGGGUCUAGCAUGCGGGCUGUCUAUCUCAGAGCCUGUGCUCUAAUCAUUAUGACACACUGGGCUGGGCGUGGUGGAUCACACCAGUAAUCCCAGCAUUUUGGGAGGCCGAGGCAGGUGGCUCACCUGAGGUCAGGAGUUCAAGACCAGCCUGACCAACGUGGUGAAAUCCCGUUUAUACCAAAAAUACAAAAAUUAGCUGGGCAUGGUAGUGGGAGCCUGUAAUCCCAGCUACUUGGGAAGCUGAGGCAGGAGAAUGGCCUGAACGCAGGAGGCAGAGGUUGCAGUGAGCCAAGAUUGUGCCAUUGCACUCCAGCCUGGACAACAAAAGUGAAACUUACUCUCCAAAAAAAAAAAAAAAAAAAAAAAGAUGGGAUAACUCAGUGGCAGAGCAUUUGACUGCAUUAUGACAUACUGUCUUCUCCACAGGUGUGUGUGUGUGUGUGUGUGGUAUGAAGAGAGAGGGAUGGAAAUCAUGGCCAUAGAGUUUGAGUUGGGACCCCGGUCUUGAUCACCUGAGCAUCAGCAGCUCCAGGGAAGAACACAUUCUGAAGGAGGAACUCUCCAGCUAGGAUUUCGUCCUGUCCGAGAGGACACCAAGAGGUGGAGACCACCCCCACAACUAAACUUGAGGAUUACCAAGGCAAUGGGGACUGUCUAGGAAUAUUUUUGAGGCGGUAAAAGCACCCCAUGAUUGUGCUAAGUAACAAAAGACAGAACAAGCAGCCUUAAAACGUUCUACAUGAUACACUGGUAUUAGAAUAAUAAGAUCUUAAAGACCAUCCACUUGAAAACUGUGUUUGCUCUGGGUCAUAUGGGCAGAACCAUGGCAGACAAAGAACUAGAAGUUCCUCCUAACUCCCAACUCAAUGUCCUUUCCUUAAAGAAUAACUGUUCUUUAUUAUAAAUAGGCCAAGCUUUUAUUAUUUAGUAUUGAACUCAGGCUGAGAUUUUUAUUGAUGGAUAAAAAUUUGAAUUAUUUCUGUGCCAUACUAUUUAAAAGUUUUCUUCUACAUAUUUGUUAUCAUUUUCUAGCAAAUAUCCUCAAAAUUGAAAACUGCAACGUCAGUGAAAUCAGUGAGCACACCACUAUCCUUCUAAUGGGAGGUCUAAUUUAUCAUUCAUGCAUAGUAAAAAAAAAAAGCAUAAUAUUUAAAUGUGUACUCUGUGAUUGUUUAUAAAACUAUUUAAGUAUAAAUAUUUCAAACAAAGCACUCAGCUUAUAAGUGAACUUAAAUCCUCAAAGUUAGGAUUUAAGUCACUUGUUUGGAAUUCGUUACAUAUUUUUCCUUUGUAAUAGUUGGUGACCAUAUUCUCAAGGCAACCCACAAAAGUCUAGUAAAUUCCCUACUGUGGCUCCAGUGUUUACAUUUGUAAUGGAAAUGUGUUGAAAAUGAAUACUAAUGUAGUGCUAGUCAUGGAAAGUAUUUAAAACACAAGGUAAAAGGAUUGGACACAUGAGUUUUCAAGUCACUAGGAAGGGAGAAGGUAAUGGGUUAAUAUUAGACCAUAGAGUUCUAUGUCUGGAUGCUAGGUGGCGCUAUUGAACCAGAACAGCUCAGUUAUUUGCCAAGUCAAGGGUUUACAGAGGGAUGCUCAUAUGACUGUUCCUAUUACACAUAUUCACAUGUUCCUUGUCUUUCAUGUGCUUAUUUAUUUUGGCCCUUACCACCACUGAGAUUUUAGCUCCUAAAAAUUAUGACUAGAAAAAUAUUGAUGGCUCACAGCAUGUCUUUAAGAGUUGAGGAGAAAAAGUAUUCAGAAAUAUAUUAAUAUUCACCACUCAGAAAUAUGUGAGCCUUGCCCCUUACUUACACAUUUUUGUGGAUGACUAUGGAUCAUUCUCUCAACUUCUCUAGGCUGGCUUCAGUUUCUCAUUUUUAUUUUUAUUUUAUUUUAGAAACAAGGUCUUGCUCUGUCACCUAGGCUAGAGUGCAAUGGGUGUGAUCAUCAUAGCUCACUGCAGCCUCAACCUCCCCAAGGCUCAGGUGAUCCUCCCACUUCAGCCUGCCCAGUAGCUGGGACCACAGGUACAUGCCAUCAUGCCUGUUUUUUUUUUUUUUCUUUUUAGAUGGAGUCUCACACUGUCACCUAGGCUGGAGUGCAGUGGUGCGAUCUCCGCUCACUGCAACCCCCGCCUCCCAGGUUCAAGCAAUUCUCCUGUCUCAGCCUCCCGAGUAGCUGGGAUUACAGGCACCUGCCACCAUGCCCAGUUUAUUUUUAGUAUUUUUAGUAGAGAUGGGGUUUCACUAUGUUGGCCAGGCUGGUCUUGAACUCCUGACCUCGUGAUCCACUCACCUUGGCCUCCCAAAGUGCUGGGAUUACAGGUGUGAGCCACCGCGCCUGUCCUUUUUUUUUUUUGUAUUUUUAGUAGAGAUGAGCUUUUGCUAUGUUGCUCAGGCUAGUCUCAAACUCCUAGCCUCAAGUGAUCUGUCUGCCUUGGCCUCCCAAAAUGGUAGGAUUACAGGUGCAAGUCACUAUACCCAGCCUCAGUUUCUCAUUUUUAAAAGGUGAUAAGUAAUAAACAAACAUAAUAGAGAUUAAUAAAAAAUAAUUAUGUACAAGAUGACAUAUGUGAUCAUAUGUAAUAAUUAUGUAUAUGUUCAAACAGUGAGGUUGCUCCUACCCAGUAAAGCCUGCUGGGGCCUUGGUGCUCCCUAAUUCAAACUCAUGGUCAGGAUUGAGCAGUGUUUUCUGAAUGCCCACUCCACAGUACUUGUCCCAAUAUUAGCAGCUGUGCACCGGCUCAUUAAAAUAAACAGUAAAAAUAAAAUAAAAUAAAAACACAUAUAUUUAUUUCACACACUGGCUCUGAGGGUCAGAAAUUCAGGGGUAGCUUAGUUGGAUGGUCCUGGUUUGGGAUCUCUCAUGAGGCAGCCAUUAACAUGUUGGUUGGGGCUGCAGUUACCUGAAGGCUUGACUGGGGCCAUAGUAUCUGCUCCCAAGAUGGCUCACACACGUGGCUUUUGGUCUGAGGUCUGAGUUCCUCACUAUGUGAACCUCUCUUCAUCCAUAGCAGCUGAUCUCUCUCAGAGCAAAUGACGGAGCAGACAGUAACAAAGUUGGAAACCAUAAUAUCUUUUAUGGAGAGUGUUCAUCUUAUGUGUCACCAGGAUUUAGUUAACCCUUUAUCUCAGACUGUAUAUUAGACACACACACCACACAUGCACACACACACACCAUACAACAAGAUAAAGCCAAAAGGAGAAAAUGAUUAACAUAAACCUUUCUUCUUCAAAGGAGUCUAAUUAAGGAUAAGACCUCUCCUUGCACAAAGAAUGGAGUUUAUGUUGUCUUCUAGAAAUAAAAAUCAGUCACAUCAAACUCUUUACAUUAAAAUUCUAUAAACUCUUUAAAUGGCUUGUUGUUGAAAAGGCAAAGGAAAUCCUAGUUUCACAACCCCACUAUUUAAGGUUUAUUAUGCUUCUAGCUGUCAACCCACAUCUCCUGCUGAGUAGACACAUCUGCAGGGCAUGCCUGGAGCUUUCGGUCAUGUUCCUACAUACAGGCUGGAGUGCAAUGGUGUGAUCUUGGCUCACUGCAACCUCCACCUCCCAGGUUCAAGCGAUUCUCCUGCCUCAGCCUCCCGAGUAGCUGGAAUUACAGGCUCCUACCAACACACCUGGCUAAUUGUUGUAUUUUUAGUAGAGACAGGGUUUCUCCAUGUUGGCCAGGCUGGUCUCGAACUCCUGAUGUCAGGUGAUCCACCUGCCUCGGCCUCACUAAGUGCUGGGAUUACAGGCAUGAGCCACCGCACUGGGCCUAUCUGCUGCUUGUUUCUACAGGGCAGAAUGCCUUCUUCCAUUUCAAGACAACAAAACAGAACAAUAAACAGAUCACUGAACGUGUAUUAUCAAGGCUUGUUGUCACAGCAGUAGAUUAAGGAGAAUAGGAAAAAACAAACAACAUUGUUUGUCUUUCUCUUUGGAUAAAAUGACAACGAAAAAAUAAAUGAUGGAUUUCUGAAAGUAAUUAUGCUUACGAUGAUACCACAGGAAGCCCUUGUAAUUGCUUUGCCACAUUGUAUUUCUUGCUGCUAUUUGGGGACCACUCGGUUUGUUAGGAUAAAAUCAUAAUUGUAUUUUCAAUUUGCUGCUCUAUCUAUUCCAUUGUCAGGAUUUGAUACACUAGAGUGCUUUUAUCAAAUGGAAGUUGGGCCAGAGAGAAUUCAUCACCAGGAUGGCUCUUUCAUACUCACGCAUGUUUCCAUCAAUGGAGUCCAGGUGCGCACACACGGAUUCAUUUGUACCCACCCCAACAACAUGCUCAAGACAAGGCUGAUGGAAAAUGUUGCCAAUUUCAGUUUCCAGCAACAUGGUCAAGACAAGGCUUAUGGAGAAUGUUGCCAAUUUCAGUUUCCACAGGGAGAAAUGGAGCCAUUAAGCCUUUGGAACAUGGUGAUUUUAUGUCUGAACAUGAAGCUCAAGAUUUUGGCAUCUGCAGCUCCUGGUUCUAGCUUUCCUUCGCAAGCCCAGGGAACUAACUGCCCUUUGUCAUCAGAAGAGAUCAUUUCACUCCUUUAUUUCCUGAGCCCUUUUCAAGGUGAGUAGCCCCGGACACAGACCUCUCAUGGAGAAGAGUUUGCUUACAAAUGAAGUUACCUGGGUCUUUGUAGAUACUGAGCACGCCCUUGAAGUAAUGAGGUAAAAAUCUUUCCAGUAACAGCAGCACAUCUUCCAACUCUUCAAGAAUCCCCACGAGCAGGAAGUUUUCAUUCACGUUCAGCUUUGCUCUCUCAAGGGCCCAUUCACCAGGCUCCCUUUAUGGAUAUAAAAAUUUAUUUCAAAUCAGAGAUUCAUAUUUGAAAUGCAGCAACAAGAUGCUGAGAGUUUACCCCCUCUACCUCCCACCUUCACUUGCAUAAGUCCAAAUCCUGUUUCCCUCAAGGACCAGCCCAGAUGUAGCCCCAUCCAGAGCCUUCCCAAUCCUUCCAGCUGGUGUCCUGCCCUGCUCACCGUUCCUUCUCUGUCACUUUCAUCCAUGCUUCACGCCAAGCCCAGGGCCUUGAAUUCACAGGCCCUGCCUAAGUAUUGUAGACGAAUGAAUGCAGGCACAAGCAGUUAGGUUCUAACAAAUACUAAUCAAGCGGUGAAUAGAAUGGUUUUUUAAUAGGCGGACCAAACUGAACCAAUUAAAUAAAUUUAGGAGUUUUGAAAUACGAAACUUACUGACAUAGCAUUUAUGUAGAACUCAAAAGAGGUGUCAGGUCAUGCCUGUUAAUCAUCUUAUUCUUUGGAAGAGUUAAAGAGGAAUCUUUGGAUUUUUGUUUAAUUUUGUUUGUCUAGAUUGCAGAAGGAAAACAGCCUAAUCUGAUUUGUAGACCAGCUCUCUGAACUGACACUAAGGCGAGUGAGAAAAGCCCAGGAGUGGGGCUCCAGGCCUGGCUGUCAUUAUCAUUUGGGGGAAUUGGGCAAGCCAGGGUUCUCUUUUGAAAAUUGGUAACAAUAACCCUUACCUAGUUCAAAGCACUGUUGUAAAGACUGUGCAAGGUGAUAUGAUGAAAGACUUAUAAAAAUCAUUGUGUGUGUAUCAA